AACGAACGCUGGCGGCAGGCCUAACACAUGCAAGUCGAACGCCCUAGCAAUAGGGAGUGGCAGACGGGUGAGUAACGCGUGGGAACCUUCCCUGUGGUGCGGAAUAACUCGCCGAAAGGCGUGCUAAUACCGCAUAAGCCCGAAAGGGGAAGAUUUAUCGCCAUAGGAUGGGCCCGCGUAGGAUUAGCUAGUUGGUGAGGUAAUGGCUCACCAAGGCGACGAUCCUUAGCUGGUUUGAGAGAAUGACCAGCCACACUGGGACUGAGACACGGCCCAGACUCCUACGGGAGGCAGCAGUGGGGAAUCUUGGACAAUGGGCGCAAGCCUGAUCCAGCCAUGCCGCGUGAGUGACGAAGGCCUUCGGUUGUAAAG
rnacentral:rRNA from 1 species